UACGGGAGGCAGCAGGGGGAAUAUUGCACAAUGGGCGCAAGCCUGAUGCAGCCAUGCCGCGUGUAUGAAGAAGGCCUUCGGGUUGUAAAGUACUUUCAGUCGUGAGGAAGGUGUUAAGGUUAAUAACCUUAGCAAUUGACGUUAGCGACAGAAGAAGCACCGGCUAACUCCGUGCCAGCAGCCGCGGUAAUACGGAGGGUGCGAGCGUUAAUCGGAAUUACUGAGCGUAAAGGGCACGCAGGCGGUUAAUUAAGUUGGAUGUGAAAUCCCCGGGCUUAACCUGGGAAUGGCAUUCAAGACUGGUUAGCUAGAGUCUUGUAGAGGGGGUAGAAUUCCAUGUGUAGCGGUGAAAUGCGUAGAGAUGUGGAGGAAUACCGGUGGCGAAGGCGGCCCCUGGACAAAGACUGACGCUCAUGUGCGAAAGCGUGGGGAGCAAACAGGAUUAGAUACC
rnacentral:rRNA from 1 species